CUCACAGUCCGAAUUCUUUCCGAACGGACUAGGCACGGAAAUUACCCGCUCUCUUGCUCCAUUUCUCAAGUAAAGCCGUUGUCUUGAUUCGAAGCUCGAACCCUGCGGCUUAUCUCUUUGUCAUGCAUGCGUCUGCUUCCCGCUCGAAGAGCUCUCAAGCUUCAAGCAAGGAUCCUCCUCCUAUCAAGAUUAACUUCUUUCCAAUUUCAUAUCUUCUGCACCCAAUCGACAGAAAUAUCUUCGGCAGUUCCUCUCACCUCUCUUCAAUGCGGACAUCUCUUUCAAUCCCUCACGAAUUCAAGAUCAUACAGGAAAGGCCAACAACUUCAUACUUUCAUUCUCAUUUCUGGCGUCCUCAUCGAUAACACCUAUCUCGCUACUAAACUUUCCGCCUUUUAUGCUAUAUGUGGCAAAAUGGAAGAGGCCCGGGUAAUCUUCAAUGGUAUUAUGUUAAAGAGCUCCUUUUUGUGGAAUAUGAUGAUAAGAGGAUUUUCAUGUAGUGGAUUUCCUCUUAAUGCCCUUUUUAUGUACCGGCAGAUGUUGGGGUUUGGCAAGAAGGCCGAUAAUUUUACUUACCCAUUUGUUCUUAUGGCCUCUGGUGAUCUGGUUCUUGACGAUGUGGGUAAAAGGAUUCAUUGCGAGGUGAUUGUUAAUGGAUAUGGUGCGGAUGUUUAUGUGAGUAAUUCUCUCCUUGCAAUGUAUUCAAAGUUUGGAGAUAUGGAGACCGCUCAGAAGGUGUUUGACCGAAUGCUUGUUAGAGACAUAACUUCUUGGAACACAAUUAUUUCAGGUUAUGUGUAUAAUGCUCAUCCAGAGAAGAGUUUAUCAAUUUUUGUGGAUAUGAUUUUAGAUGGAUUUCGGUGUGACCAGGUUAGUUUUCUUGGUGUACUGUCUGCGUGCUCUGAUUUGGGUGCAUUCUGCCAAGGAAAGGAGAUUCAUGCUUAUGUUCUUCGAACUGGAGUUGAGUUCAAUAGUUUUUUGUCAAAUGCUCUUAUUGACGUCUAUGUGAAAUCUAACUUUUUAGCCGGAGCAAAAAGACUGCAUGAAAUGAUGUAUAUGAGAGACACUAUUUCAUGGAACACCCUGAUCUUUGGCUGUGCCAGGUAUGGUUAUGCCUUAGAAAGCUUAAGCCUUUUCCAUCAAAUGAAUUAUGAAGGCAUUUACCUUGAUGUUGCCACCUUUCUAGCAGUAUUAGGAGCUUGUGGUCAGCUUGCAGCUUUACACUUCGGAAAGAAUUUACAUUCCCAUCUUAGUAAAAUAGGGCUUGAUCAUGAGGUUUCCAUUGGAACUGCUCUUAUAGACAUGUAUGCUAAGUGUGGCAGUUUAGCUCACUCUUGUCAAAUUUUUGAUGAGAUGCCCACAAAGAAUCUAAUCUCUUGGAGUGCAAUGGUUUCUGCCUAUGGACUACAUGGAAGGGGUGAGGAAGCUGUCGAUUUUUUCAAUCAAAUGAAGAAGAAAGGAAUAAAGCCAGACAAAGUCACUUUCACCUCAGUUCUAUCAGCAUGUAGUCAUGCAGGAUUAGUUGAUAGUGGGAAGGAAAUAUUUCUCCAAAUGCAACAUAGGCAUGCAAUCACUCCUUCUGUUAAGCAAUAUUCCUGCAUGGUUGAUCUUCUUGGAAGAGCUGGGCAUCUGGAUGAAGCAUACAAGCUAAUCCUUGAUAUGGAAGUGAUGCCUAAUGUUGACGUCUGGGCUGCACUUCUUGCUGCUUGCCAGAUCCAUCACAAUGUUGAGCUGGCAGAAAUUGCUGCUCAGCAUGCUUUUAACGUCAGGCCUCAAGGCUUUGGUGUUUACAUCUCCCUCUCCAAUAUUUACGCCAAAGAGAAGAGAUGGGAUGAUGUGAAAAGGGUGCGUGGUUUGGCAAGACGAGACGGACUGAGAAAGCCACCUGGUUGCAGUUAUUUUGAGUUGGAUUUGGAAAUUCACAGGUUUCUAGUAGGAGAUAAGUCUCAUCUACAAUCAAAGGCUAUGAAUGCCACGUUAGUUGAGUUAAAACGGAUGGUGAAGGAAGCUGGAUAUAUCCCAGAUACCAGCUCAGUAUUUUAUGAAGUCGAGGUUGAGUUGAAGGAAAAAAUUCUUUAGGAAUACAGUGAGAGGCUUGCAAUUGCUUUUGCUCUUUUAAACACAUGCUCCGGAACAAGCAUUCUAAUCACCAAAAAUCUCAGGGUGUGGUGAUUUUCAUACAACAACAAAACUUAUUUCUAAGCUUGUCAAUCGAGAAAUUAUUGUAAGGGAUGCUCGUAGGUGCCAUCACUUUAAGAAUGGAACCUGCUCUUGUUGUGAUGAAUGGAUCUGAAAAAGGGAAAGAAGUUAUGGACUAGCCGCUCAGGUUCUGAUCGAAAGUUAUAGGUAUUUUUAUUAUUUUGAUUUUUGUAUAGUGAUGGCUAGUAACUUUUCUGUUAUGUACCUUCUGUCUGUAGCCAUAUACUGUAAUGUAUAUGAUUAUUUUGAUGAAUGAAAGAAAUAUUUUGAAUGAGUUCUUCUGUAUU